GGCCUCCUGGUUCUUACCGCAGGUUGUAUUCUUACACUGGCUAUAUAGAAAGAGAAAGUAAACCUACCACAUACACAACUCAGUCCAGGCCCUGUUUCUGGUCUGUAUUGUGAAUGGGGAGACAUGG
rnacentral:snoRNA from 1 species